UGAGUGCUGCCGUGCCGAGUAAGCAGUCUGGCCGAGGCUGCAGUGCAGCCCGUGUGGGGCUCCUGGCCUCGCGCCAUGCUCGCCAACACUCCGAAUUAAUCCAGUGUGGACCCUCAGCAGGCAGCACAGAACACUGAGUUGCUGACGAACUCUUGGGUCUUUCAGAAAUCUCCAAGCCUCUGCAGUGCAACAGACGCUCUCUUGCAGACCGACAAUCAUGAGUUUUUCUUCAAGCUUCCUGCUGCAGAAUUGAACUGACAGAAACGAUGGAGGAUCCCCAGAGGGUUAACAUCUGGGUGCCUGCACAGGCCAGGGCGAUGGGGAGCCACAGCAAAUAUUCGACAUUCCUUCCGCCUGAUGUUGGAUAGAAGUGGUUUAUUAACAUGGAGUCUCCUUUAACAAAAGGAGUCCGGCGAGCCUCCUUGUAUAUUUUUUUUGUUUUUGUUUCCUAAAUUGUGUAUAUUCUCAUUUUUAUGGUAUGUGGUAAAAAUGAAAUAUGACUCUGGGGCCGUUUGCCUCCCCGUCUGUGUGGUUUUUUUAAUACUCUGAUAGAAACGCUCGGGACUCUAAGCCUUGAUGAUAAGUUCAUGCUCUCGGGAGGACACAAAAUAGCGCCGAACGCCACAAAGCACCUUGCGACAGAGCUGACAGAUUUGGAGCUGUACAGACCGGCACGUCUGCAUCGUUUACAACCUCCACAGGGCCGAGAAAACCUGCAGCAGCAUGUCAUCCACUUGUCCACUACCUACAGAAGCAGGAUCCUAUUUCCCCCCCCCCCACCCCCUCUGGUGUUCGUACUGUUGUGUUUUUCCACAGACUCUCCAAGACUUCAGUAUUAAACCUGUUCCAAUAUUAUGUCUUACAGUCACUAUGCUAAUGGCAAAUACACCAUGAAGGUGAAAUAAGUGGUAAAAUCUUUAUUCCCAUAAACCAGGUACAUACUUUUCCAGCACACACCCUGACACUAAACUGUCAGAAUUCAUCAGUCAGUCAGUUUCUCUUUUUUUUUUUUUUUUUCUUCAGAUUACAGAUUCACCUUUAACCUACAGCAACUGGUCUUGUCUUCACACACUAAACUACUGAAACCAAUCUUCUCAAACUCAACAGUAUUUACUGAGGCUAAGAGUCCCCAAUUCCCACGCAGUUACUAGACGCUUUGUAGUACAUAGUAACACUUUUUUUUUAACCUUGCUUUGAUUAAUUUUCAUUUUUGGCUUUUUUCGUUUUAAUUUUUUUCCUUUGCCAGUGUAUUAAAGUGUAAUCAUGUGCGUUGUGAUAUAGAAGUAGCUGUAGAAACCGCAUUGUUUCCUUGUGGUAAGUGAUUGAGAUGCUGCCACGGAUUUGAGACACUGAUGAAUGGUGCUAUUUUGGACUUUAAUCUGCUCCUUGGUGAGGUAGCCAAGAUGGUUUUUAUUUCAUAUCUCUUCACGUCUGGAGAAGGUGUUUGGUUCUUUGUUGUAUGGUUGUUGUAACUUGGUCUGGAUUGACCCCCUCCCCCCCUCCCCCUCAAUCCCUCCCUUUAUCUCUCCUCUCUCCUCCCACUGUCGUUUCUGUGCGGCUUUCUCUUUGGAAUAAACAAAAAAAUAAUUAACUAAAAGAAUGCACACCAACAAAGUAAGGUGAUCAAAGUGAUUGCCAAAAAAAAAAAAAAACAGUGGGAGCAAUCACAAAACUGCAGUUAUUAAUGUUUUCCCUUAAAGGUCGAGAGCUGAUCUGUUGGAUUAGUUGCACUUACUGGCACUAGGUAAUUUGGCAGCGGAAAAAUAGCAUACCAUCUGGGAAUUUUUUUUUUCUUCUUGAUCGUACUAUCAAGAACCUGUCUCUAGGAAUGUAUUUAGCACUUAAGAUAUGCAUAGCAAGGGAACUUUGAGCAGAGAGUUGGCUUCUUUUGAGGUGUCUUUUGCUUAAUAAAGUAUGUAAAUAUAUGUUCACCCAGGUAAAGGCACCACUGACAGCCUUUUUUGUAGGACAACUCCAAUAAUCAUACUGUCCAUGGUUAGAUUGGUCCAAUGAUACCAAUCAGCUAAAUGGCAUUCACCAGCUGAAAAUCAGAUGCUUCUAGCAGCCCCUCACAUCUCACAGCACACAAUCUGAUCAUGUUCAAUCCUAAAAUGAAAAUGUAGCACUGAUGAAUUAGUGUUCAUCAAUUUUUUUUUGUUUUCUUUAAGACUAGUGGAUUUGUGAAUGACGUGUCUCCCCUUGAGGUUUUAUUUUUAUUUCGGGUAAUUCUGUAUUUGCAGUUUUGUCUUUGCUUCCAGUUUAAAAUAUAUUUUGAAGAAGAAAAAAAAUCCCAAUUCAACGGCCAACUUGAAAGCCCACUUUAGUUUCUUUUGUCUUCCUUUUUUUAUUUCCUCUCCGCUAUAGUUGGAAUCUUCCCAGCUUGCUCUAGAUCUUCCCUAGUGCAUCAGCUGCAUGUUUUCUGCUUUGAUUCAUUUACAUCUUGACUGUUUGCAUUUUUCUCUCACAGGCUAGGUAUUCUAGCUUCUGUAAAUAGCUUAGCUUUAGAUAGGGUCUGAUGUACUAUGUUGAAAUACUAUAAUAACUUGAUGUAAAAAGCAAAGAAGAAGAAAAAAAAACAGUUUGUGAUCAAUAAUGAAGCACUCGGUAUUGUAUAAGUAAUUUUGACAAUUUAAGCAGUAGAACAAUAAACAUGCAAGCUCUCCA